GAAGCCUAAAGUAGUCCGUUAACACAAGAAAAUAUAUCUGCAGUGAUAAUUGACAGCUAUCAAUUAUGAACAAGUGACGGAGCUAAACCAUUUUUGCUGAUUUGGAGAGGAGGAGGUAAUACUAUAAAGGUGUAAAAACUAAUCAGAUUUUGAAAGAAAUGUUCAAAGAACUUACUGAUUGUGUGAAUAAAGGUAUUUUUUGUUCCUUUAUUUUUUAGGAGCCUCAUCACAAAAGACAUUGGGCUGUGCUAUAUUAUGGAAAUAUAAAUCUGACUUCGUACCCCGAAAACUUAACCCCAUAUGUGCAAAUGAUGCAGCAUUGUAACAAGCCAUCAUACAUGUCGAAGU
rnacentral:lncRNA from 1 species